AUCGGAUCCUUUUUAACUUGUUGCCAAGCUCGGCAGGGCCGGCAGCCGCCCGGGCCUCGGUGGCCGCACCGCACCGCGCCGCCCGGUCCUAAAAUGGAUGUCGUUCAGUUUGGCCUUCACUUGAUAACAGAAGUUUAAAUGCUGCUAGUACUGGAUGAAAAGCACUGCAGCCACAUGGUGAUCACUGCCACUGAAAAAUGUUUGAUGGA